rnacentral:lncRNA from 1 species
AUUAACUAAAUUGACUGUUAAUGCUCAAAUUACCUUCAAUAGAAGACAAAAAUUAUAACAAACCAAUAACAACAGAAAAAUUAGAACCAGCGAAUCACAAAUUAUAAUCACAUUUUCCACUGAAAAUGUUGCGGAACUUGAAGCUUAGCUUAGCUGCAGUAAUGGAAUCGAUCACCAUGAGACUAUCCUUUAUCGCCUUCGCCAAUUCCUGUGGUGUCUUAGGCCUCGACUGCUUGAAGAACGAGAACGACGUUAUGAUGAUUCAUGAAAUCACGAAAUAGUACUUCGAUAAUCGAAGAGAAAAACGACAUUGUGAUGAUUCAGUCGUUGGCGAUGGCGACG